GAUGAAGAACGCAGCGAAAUGCGAUAAGUAGUGUGAAUUGCAGAAUUCAGUGAAUCAUCGAAUCUUUGAACGCACAUUGCGCCCCUUGGUAUUCCAUGGGGCAUGCCUGUUCGAGCGUCAUUUGUACCCUCAAGCUUUGCUUGGUGUUGGGUGUUUGUCCUCUCCUUUGUGUUUGGACUCGCCUUAAAGCAAUUGGCAGCCGGCGUAUUGAUUUCGGAGCGCAGUACAUCUCGCGCUUUGCACUCAUAACGACGACGUCCAAAAGUACAUUUUUACACUCUUGACCUCGGAUCAGGUAGGGAUACCCGCUGAACUUAAGCAUAUCAAUAAGCGGAGGA
rnacentral:misc_RNA from 1 species